GCGCCCGUAGCUCAGCUGGAUAGAGCACGGCAUUCCUAAUGCCGGGGUCGUGGGUUCGAAUCCCCCCGGGCGCACCA
rnacentral:tRNA from 1 species